ACACCGGAAGACAGAUGGAUUGGUCGUCACCCUUUCAAGGUGGAGUUUGCGGGUUCGAGUCCCGUCCGGUGUA
rnacentral:tRNA from 1 species